UAGUGGCGAACGGGUGAGUAACACGUGAGUAACCUGCCCUUGACUCUGGGAUAAGCCUGGGAAACUGGGUCUAAUACUGGAUAUGACCUUCUGGCGCAUGCCAUGUUGGUGGAAAGCUUUAUUGCGGUUUUGGAUGGACUCGCGGCCUAUCAGCUUGUUGGUGGGGUAAUGGCCUACCAAGGCGACGACGGGUAGCCGGCCUGAGAGGGUGGACGGCCACACUGGGACUGAGACACGGCCCAGACUCCUACGGGAGGCAGCAGUGGGGAAUAUUGCACAAUGGGCGCAAGCCUGAUGCAGCGACGCCGCGUGGGGGAUGAAGGCCUUCGGGUUGUAAACCUCUUUCAGUAGGGAAGAAGCGAAAGUGACGGUACCUGCAGAAGAAGCGCCGGCUAACUACGUGCCAGCAGCCGCGGUAAUACGUAGGGCGCAAGCGUUAUCCGGAAUUAUUGGGCGUAAAGAGCUCGUAGGCGGUUUGUCGCGUCUGCCGUGAAAGUCCGGGGCUUAACUCCGGAUCUGCGGUGGGUACGGGCAGACUAGAGUGAUGUAGGGGAGACUGGAAUUCCUGGUGUAGCGGUGAAAUGCGCAGAUAUCAGGAGGAACACCGAUGGCGAAGGCAGGUCUCUGGGCAUUAACUGACGCUGAGGAGCGAAAGCAUGGGGAGCGAACAGGAUUAGAUACCCUGGUAGUCCAUGCCGUAAACGUUGGGCACUAGGUGUGGGGGACAUUCCACGUUUUCCGCGCCGUAGCUAACGCAUUAAGUGCCCCGCC
rnacentral:rRNA from 1 species